GGGGAAUAUUGCACAAUGGGCGAAAGCCUGAUGCAGCGACGCCGCGUGAGGGAUGACGGCCUUCGGGUUGUAAACCUCUUUCAGCACGGAAGAAGCGAAAGUGACGGUACGUGCAGAAGAAGCGCCGGCUAACUACGUGCCAGCAGCCGCGGUAAUACGUAGGGCGCAAGCGUUGUCCGGAAUUAUUGGGCGUAAAGAGCUCGUAGGCGGUUUGUCGCGUCUGCUGUGAAAGCCCGGGGCUUAACCCCGUGGUGUGCAGUGGGUACGGGCAGACUAGAGUGCAGUAGAGGAGACUGGAAUUCCAGGUGUAGCGGUGAAAUGCGCAGAUAUCAGGAGGAACACCGAUGGCGAAGGCAGGUCUCUGGGCUGUUACUGACGCUGAGGAGCGAAAGCAUGGGGAGCGAAC
rnacentral:rRNA from 1 species